AUUCAAUACCUUACCUUAUCAUUGCUUAUGUAGUCAACAUAAUGACUCUCUGACUGCACUGUAGUGAUAUAUAAUAAGAAAAUAGAUUUUAUUGACUUGAGCGAGUUUAAAGUCAUGAAUGAAUGAAUUAUUUACGGUUGCUGAAUCACACGUAUUUAAACCAUGGCAGAAUAAAUGGAAAUUUUCCACUGAUUUUAAAAAGGAGAGAAUUUAGUGUAUUUGUGAUGGCUUUAGCUUUGAGAAUUUAUUCACAUGCCUACUUUCGACAUCCCAUGUCAACAUGUGCUAUUUCUACAGGUAUUGGUUUUUUUAAUGAUUAUUUCUUUAAUGUCUCUGCAGCUCACAGAGAUGGAGUUUGCUUGGCAACUACCUAGUUUGAAUUUUAAUUAUUAAUGUAUUAAAUUUUUGCAAAUAGCUAUACACAGUAGUGAUGCUGAAUCUUGUAAUUUAAGUCUUCCAUUAAACUAAACGCUUUAACAUGUUUAAAUGUCUUUGUUUAACUAAUCCAUUUUACUCUCAAUAUCAUAUAUAAAAUAAUUGAUACAUGUAGCUUUGAAUAUUAACUUUUAUAAAUUUUAGGGGUUGACCCAAGAUUUUUGAAAGUGGGGGCAUAUUUUAAAAUUUUAUACAGCGGUAUAUUGUAUUUUGAUUUUUGUCCUUUAAUUUAUUUUCAUUUUAGAUUAAGUUUCUAAACAUAACAGUGUAAAUUGAUAUUAUAACCAUGAUACAAAUUGAACCGGUUUGCAUGGUUGAAUAUAUAGGUUUCUAAACUAUUUAAUCAUUAAUUCAAGGUAAUAUAAAAGAUGUACUUUAAGUUAUAAGGCUCAGUACAGCUGAGUCAGCAAUAGAUUUAGGCUUUGUGAUAUUGCCAUGCUAUUUUCUUAAGUGUUAUUACACAUAAUUGGUUAGACAUUGGUAUACUUGCUGAAUAAUUCAAUUUACCAGUAGAUAUAUUGUAAAGCUUACAUAACUUGUUAUUUUUUACUCUGUUGAAAAUGUCAAUUAGUGUAUUAAGUACAAAGCAAUAUGCAUUUUAGAUUAAGAUGAUAAACAUGAUUCUGUUUUAUCAUGUUUAUCAUCAAUGUGAAUGUGAUUAUAUAGUUGGAGUCCUCCCUUUAUCCUGGGUUGGGAAACCCCUUUUUAAAAUGGCUGGAUCCUCCACUGAUACUUUACCUUGGUAGAAAUAAUUUGUGUUUCCCAUGAGAAAAAAACAAAUACUAUAGCACCAUAUAAAAAAUUAAUGGAGAACUUUAACAACAAAACAACUGGUUCAUCUGUUGUCUGUGUGCACAUGUUUUAAUAAUUUAAUUUUGGAUGUAACGCGUCUUCUGAUUGGCUGACGUUAUUUUGUUAUCAGUCCAUAGACACAACUUUGUCCUGUGACUGUGACGUCAUCAACGUUUUUUCAUGGAUUUCUACAGUUUAAAAUGGAAUUUAGAUUUAAAUUAUAAGAAAUGACUGUAAUAUUUUGUCUGUCUAUUCGAAAUAACAUAAAAAAUGUGGUGCAAACUGUUAAAUAACCCACUACACGCAUUAUUCAGUUUGCACCAAAUUUUUUAUGUUAAUUCUUCAUAGACAGAAAAGAUAUUACAGUCAUUCCUUAAAUGAAAUUGUUAAACAAUGGACAUACAUGUAAGACACGAGAUAAUAAGGGGACAAAAUCCACUAUAAUAGUAGAAAAAUCAAUAAAAAAAAUAAUUAAAAAUUAAAAAAUAUAAUUUUCAAUGUACUUAAAUGAACUCAUAUCUAUCUAUCUAUGACUAACAUAGAACCAUCAUCAGAAACGGUACGGUAUAUCCGUUUCUUUUUGAACAUUAAAAUAUGUUUGAAUUAAAAAAAUGUAAUUGAUACGUCCCCUUUUACAGGUUAAGCCUGCCUCAUAUUAAAUUAUUGCUAUUUCAGAAAAGGCUUCGUAGAAAAAAUGCUUUCAAAUUUUUCAAAUGAAAGUUUUUAAUUGUUACAAAAUUUUUCACAUUGCAAUUUUUGCAAUAAAAGCAAAACUUACCAAAUUCACCGAAUCUAAUGGGACAGAACUACAUGUACAAGAUAAGCACGCAUAUACUCAGGACUAAAGUCUGCCUCUGUUUCAGUUGUAAUUCAUGAUAUUUUGGCAAUAUGCAUCUGUUUCAAACAGUUUUUUUUUUCUAUUUUCAGGAACGUUAAUGGCCACAGGUGAUUGUAUAUGUCAGUUAGUUAUAGAAAGGACACAUAAUUAUGAUUUUCAUCGAACAGGCAGAUUUCUAGGAUUUGGUCUAUUUAUUGGCG
rnacentral:lncRNA from 1 species